rnacentral:rRNA from 1 species
GACGAACGCUGGCGGCGUGCCUAACACAUGCAAAUCGAGCGAGUGAAUCUCCUUCGGGAGUGAAGCUAGCGGCGGACGGGUGAGUAACACGUGGGCAACCUGCCUCAUAGCGGGGAAUAGCCUUCCGAAAGGAAGAUUAAUACCGCAUAAGAUUGUAGCUUCUCCUGAAGUAGCAAUUAAAGGAGCAAUCCGCUAUGAGAUGGGCCCGCGGCGCAUUAGCUAGUUGGUGAGGUCACGGCUCACCAAGGCGACGAUGCGUAGCCGACCUGAGAGGGUGAUCGGCCACAUUGGGACUGAGACACGGCCCAGACUCCUACGGGAGGCAGCAGUGGGGAAUAUUGCACAAUGGGGGAAACCCUGAUGCAGCAACGCCGCGUGAGUGAUGACGGCCUUCGGGUUGUAAAGCUCUGUCUUCAGGGACGAUAAUGACGGUACCUGAGGAGGAAGCCACGGCUAACUACGUGCCAGCCGCCGCGGUAACAC